UGCUGUGUGUAAAUACACCACAUAUUUUUUUGCUUUGCUGUUGAUGGCUAUUUGGGUUGCUUUCUAGUCUCUGGUCAUCUUGAAUUAAACUGCUAUGAUUGUUCUUGCAUGUGUAUUUUGGUAUAUACAUUUUUUUUCUUGGGAAUGUGCCUGGAAGUAGAAUUGCUUUAGUGGAUAGAGCCAAACAAUUUUGAAUCAACUACACUUCCACGUGCUAAGUGUGAGAGAUCCAAUUGUUGUACCUCUUUGCUAGCCCAUGGAACCUGUGAUCCUAACCUCCAGGCUAUAUAUAGGAGUGAGGAAAAGACGUGAAAUAAAUAGUAAAUACAGCAGAGAGUAGCAAAAGGACUCUACCUGGAAAGUAUGGUAGGAUUACUGAGAUGAGUAAAUAUCCAUUUGAAAUUUCAUGAUCCUAACUUUCAAGGAAAAGGAGUGGUCUUCACUGUGUGGUUUUCUCCAUCAGAAUUCAUCUGCUUGGGUGCUGAUAUAGGUUGUUGGAUUUAAUCACGGUAUUUUGGAAAAAACAAGUGGAGCAGACUGGAGUCCUUUGAAGAACUUAAUGCCUUGUAGCUGGGAAGUUUGUAGAUGGUGGCAACAAGGAGAGACAAUGCAUGCUUCUAAAAGUGGUGAUGACCAUAUUUUGAGAUCUUCGAAGGCAAGAUUAAGACUGAAUCUAUUCUCAGCAUUUCCAAGGUCUACAAUGCAAUUGGUUGUAAAAAGUGGAAACCAAUUCUGAUUUGCAUAAGCCAAAGGUAAGUAUUAUUAAAAGGGCAUGUGGGGCCACAGAAUGAAUGGGAGGCUGGGAAGUAGGCUUGCCUCCAGCAGAGCUGCUUAGAGCCGGAAAGCUAGAAGCCAGUGGCUAUCUUUUAGCAGAAACAGUAAGGCUAGGUCUUGUGAGGCUCUAAGGACAUCGUCUCUACUGCAGCGUUGAAAGUAUUCUUCUUGUUCUUCAUUGUCUGAGACAUUCACACAGGAGACAGACCUGGUUGGGGGCAUCUGAUUAGCUGUUGCAAGGAAAUAUGCGUAUAUUGCCCUUCUGGUGUUUGUUGUGGGAGGCAGACCAUUGCCUUUCAACAAAAUGGCGCACAGUAGGGAACUCCUGCCAAAUAGGAAG
rnacentral:lncRNA from 1 species